rnacentral:lncRNA from 1 species
AUGUCAUCCGAUUUGUUGAAAUCCUGGUUGACAGGUUUCCAGGCAGUCAUCAUCAUCAUGAGUCGGUCCCAGACACAAGCAGUGCUGCAAUCAGCCCCUCUCCCGACAUCUCUCCAUUCACACCCGUCUCUUCUUAUUCUCAGUUCACAUCCCGUCUCUUCUUAUUCUCUCAGCUCACAUCCCGUCUCUUCUUAUUUUCUCAGCUCACAUCCCGUCUCUUCUUAUUUUCUCAGCUCACACUCAUCCCCGUCUCUUCUUAUUCUCUCAGCUCACAUCCCGUCUCUUCUUAUUCUCAGUUCACAUCCCGUCUCUUCUUAUUCUUUCAGUUCACAUCCCGUCUCUUCUUAUUCUUUCAGUUCACAUCCCGUCUCUUCUUAUUUUCUCAGCUCACAUCCCGUCUCUUCUUAUUCUCUCAGCUCACAUCCCGUCUCUUCUUAUUCUCAGUUCACAUCCCGUCUCUUCUUAUUCUCAGCUCACAUCCCGUCUCUUCUUAUUUUCUCAGCUCACAUCCCGUCUCUUCUUAUUUUCUCAGCUCACAUCCCGUCUCUUCUUAUUCUCAGUUCACAUCCCGUCUCUUCUUAUUCUCAGUUCACAUCCCGUCUCUUCUUAUUCUCUCAGCUCACAUCCCGUCUCUUCUUAUUGUCAGUUCACAUCCCGUCUCUUCUUAUUGUCAGUUCACAUCCCGUCUCUUCUUAUUCUCUCAGCUCACAUCCCGUCUCUUCUUAUUCUCUCAGCUCACAUCCCGUCUCUUCUUAUUCUUUCAGUUCACAUCCCGUCUCUUCUUAUUCUCUCAGCUCACAUCCCGUCUCUUCUUAUUCUCUCAGCUCACAUCCCGUCUCUUCUUAUUCUCAGUUCACAUCCCGUCUCUUCUUAUUGUCAGUUCACAUCCCGUCUCUUCUUAUUCUCUCAGCUCACAUCCCGUCUCUUCUUAUUCUCUCAGCUCACAUCCCGUCUCUUCUUAUUCUCUCAGCUCACAUCCCUUCUCUUCUUAUUCUCAGUUCACAUCCCGUCUCUUCUUAUUCUCAGUUCACAUCCCGUCUCUUCUUAUUCUCAGUUCACAUCCCGUCUCUUCUUAUUCUCAGUUCACAUCCCGUCUCUUCUUAUUCUCAGUUCACAUCCCGUCUCUUCUUAUUCUCUCAGUUCACAUCCCGUCUCUUCUUAUUCUCUUAG